UACGGGGGGGGCAAGCGUUGUUCGGAAUUACUGGGCGUAAAGGGCUCGUAGGUGGCCAACUAAGUCAGACGUGAAAUCCCUCGGCUUAACCGGGGAACUGCGUCUGAUACUGGAUGGCUUGAGUUCGGGAGAGGGAUGCGGAAUUCCAGGUGUAGCGGUGAAAUGCGUAGAUAUCUGGAGGAACACCGGUGGCGAAGGCGGCAUCCUGGACCGACACUGACACUGAGGAGCGAAAGCCAGGGGAGCAAACGGGG
rnacentral:rRNA from 1 species